rnacentral:rRNA from 1 species
GAUCCUGGCUCAGGAUGAACGCUAGCUACAGGCUUAACACAUGCAAGUCGAGGGGAAACGACAUCGAAAGCUUGCUUUUGAUGGGCGUCGACCGGCGCACGGGUGAGUAACGCGUAUCCAACCUGCCAAUCACUUGGGAAUAACCUUGCGAAAGUAAGACUAAUGCCCAAUGAUAUCCCACGAAGGCAUCCGAAUGGGAUUAAAGAUUUAUCGGUGAUGGAUGGGGGUGCGUCUGAUUAG